rnacentral:tRNA from 1 species
UCCCUAGUGGCUCAGAGGUUAAAGUGUCUGCCUCCAAUGCGGGAGACCCAGGUUCAAUCCCUGGGUUGGGAA